rnacentral:lncRNA from 1 species
GAGCAUUUUUGCGCAAAUCUUUUAAUCAUUUUGGUUCCGUUUAUUUUUAUUUCUUUUUCAAAAUAUUAUGAAUAAAUAAUUAGGAUUUUUUAUAUUUUCAUUUCAAUUUUACGAUGAUUAUUUAAAUUAAUUUGGUUUUUCAUUGUUUAAUUAAUUUAAACUCUUUUUUAUCUUUAAAUUUUUUUAAGGGUUUUUUUGUCU